rnacentral:rRNA from 1 species
UACGUAGGGACCAAGCGUUGUUCGGAUUUACUGGGCGUAAAGGGUGCGUAGGCGGACUCGCAAGUGCUUUGUGAAAUCCCACGGCUCAACCGUGGAAUUGCUUGGCAGACUGCGGGUCUGAGGUUGGUAGGGGUCGCCGGAACUCUAGGUGGAGCGGUGAAAUGCGUAGAUAUCUAGAGGAACGCCAAAGGUGAAGACAGGCGACUGGGCCAAAUCUGACGCUGAGGCACGAAAGCGUGGGGAGCGAACGGG